ensembl:lncRNA
GUUAGUCGCCACAAAGACGCCUGCUGACCUACCUCGCCGUGAGAACGCCUGAACUAGAUAUGUGGCCACAAAGCGCUUCAGAUUUUAUGACUUAGUUUAGGAUUUACUAGUGUUUUAUACAACCAGCACAUUUAUAUCACUUGGUACAGCAAUGUAUAAUGGUGUAGGACAGAUAACGUGUUGUUUAAAUGUAGGCUAUUUUGAUGGUGCCUGUUUUGAUACUGUUAUUCACUCUCAAAGUAGACCUAUUAUUGUUUUAGUUGAGAUAAUGAAUUGCUUAUUUGUUUGGGUAAUUUACUGUAAUUAAAAUGGGUAGGUCUACAGACUUAGCAUUAAACACCACUGAAAGUGUUAUCUAUUACUACAGUAUAUCUGUAACAUUUAUAUUUAAAAUGUAUAUUAAUGUAAUUAUCUGCAGGUGUAUUAUUUUAAGGUGUAUUUUGGUUAUUGGUUAUUGGGUUUAUUUAUUCAGAUUCAUACAGAAGAAAUUGUGUCGAUUAUUUAUUGAUUGAGUAGUUAAUUUUGAUAACAAUGCUAAGAAUAUCUGAUGUGGUGUAAAAUAAAAGAGAUGACAAUGGCAGCCAACAUAACCAGUGUUAAAUCUCCUUUCUUGCCUGUUUUCAUAUUUCCCUGUACACACAGGAGACGAUAGAUCUACCAACACAACAAUUUAUCAUCUGUACAAUACCAAGAAUCAACAGAUGUUCACGAGUAUAUGAUUACAUUCAUGAAUACAAUUUGAAUUAAGCUCACACUCACAAACAAAUAUUUUCUAAAUGAAUACUCUGAGCAAGCAUGACAAUACUGCAAGCCAUUACAUCAUGUCUUGUACUUGCACUAAUGCUACUCAAUACCUUUGCAAAUACUUCGCAGGAGGGAGAAGCCCAGCACAGUGACCUGACUGCAAUCGUGUGUUUGAGGCACUUUUCAUCCAACUCUACGAGCAGUACUGUGGAUCAAGGUAAUACUUUUAGGCACUGCACAGGGGAACAAGCACAGGAGAACUACUGUCGUGAGCCCAGAGAGGCUCCAUCUUCUGUUCUGAGGCCGGUUCCUGAGCUUCCUCUCCCGUCAACCAAACCAGCACUUCAACCACUUGCCCACACCUCCAC